AUUGAACGCUGGCGGCAGGCCUAACACAUGCAAGUCGAACGAGUGGCGGACGGGUGAGUAAUUUCUGGUAAACUGCCUGAUGGAGGGGGAUAACUACUGGAAACGGUAGCUAAUACCCCCUACCAUCAGAUGUGCCCAGAGGGGAUGAGCUAGUUGGUGGGUGAACGGCUCACAAAGGCGACUAUCCCUAGCUGGUCUGAGAGGAUGACCAGCCAAACGGGAAAUGAGACACGGUCCAGACUCCUACGGGAGGGAGAAGUGGGGAAUAUGGCACAAUGGGCGCAAGCCUGAUGCAGAAAGGCCGGGUGUAGUAAGAAGGCCUCCGGGUUGUAAAGUACGUUCAGCGGGGAGGCGUUACCCGAAGAAGAAGCACCGGCUAACUCCGUGCCAGCAGCCGCGGUAAUAC
rnacentral:rRNA from 1 species